AACACUGUUAACCUGCGGUACCUGCGGAGGGAUCAUUACAGUAUUCUUUUGCCAGCGCUUAACUGCGCGGCGAAAAACCUUACACACAGUGUCUUUUUGAUACAGAACUCUUGCUUUGGUUUGGCCUAGAGAUAGGUUGGGCCAGAGGUUUAACAAAACACAAUUUAAUUAUUUUUACAGUUAGUCAAAUUUUGAAUUAAUCUUCAAAACUUUUAACAACGGAUCUCAGAUCGGAAGAGC
rnacentral:misc_RNA from 1 species